rnacentral:rRNA from 1 species
AAAUUGAAGAGUUUGAUCAUGGCUCAGAUUGAACGCUGGCGGCAGGCCUAACACAUGCAAGUCGAACGGUAACAGGAAGCAGCUUGCUGCUUCGCUGACGAGUGGCGGACGGGUGAGUAAUGUCUGGGAAACUGCCUGAUGGAGGGGGAUAACUACUGGAAACGGUGGCUAAUACCGCAUAACGUCGCAAGACCAAAGAGGGGGACCUUCGGGCCUCUUGCCAUCAGAUGUGCCCAGAUGGGAUUAGCUUGUUGGUGAGGUAACGGCUCACCAAGGCGACGAUCCCUAGCUGGUCUGAGAGGAUGACCAGCCACACUGGAACUGAGACACGGUCCAGACUCCUACGGGAGGCAGCAGUGGGGAAUAUUGCACAAUGGGCGCAAGCCUGAUGCAGCCAUGCCGCGUGUAUGAAGAAGGCCUUCGGGUUGUAAAGUACUUUCAGCGGGGAGGAAGGUGUUGCGGUUAAUAACCGCAGCAAUUGACGUUACCCGCAGAAGA